rnacentral:rRNA from 1 species
UGAGUACGAGAUGCUACGGCAUCGAAGCAGUCUAUGUCAUACUUCCAAGAAAAGCUUGCACUGUCAGAAACAGAUAAUGCCUGUACCAUAACCGACACAGGUGGGUAGGUAGAGUAUACUAAGGGGCGCGAGAUAACUCUCUCUAAGGAACUCGGCAAAAUGACUCCGUAACUUCGGGAGAAGGAGUGCCUUAUUUUUAAGGUUGCAAUAACAAGAUCCAAGCAACUGUUUACCAAAAACACAGGUCUCCGCUAAGUCGUAAGACGAUGUAUGGGGGCUGACGCCUGCCCAGUGCCAGAAGGUUAAAGAAGUCGGUUAGCAUUCGCGAAGCUGGUAACUGAAGCCCUGGUGAACGGCGGCCGUAACGAUAACGGUCCUAAGGUAGCGAAAUUCCUUGUCGGGUAAGUUCCGACCCGCACGAAAGGCGUAAUGAUUUGGAUACUGUCUCGGAGAGGGGCUCGGUGAAAUAGACUUGUCUGUGAAGAUGCGGACUACCUGCACCUGGACAGAAAGACCCUAUGAAGCUUUACUGUAACUUGAAAUUGAAAUUUGACUUUAUUUGCGCAGUAUAGGUGGGAGGCGUUGAAAAUAUUCUUGCGGGAAUAUUGGAGCCAUCAGUGAGAUACCACUCUUGUAAUGUUAGAUUUCUAACUUUAUAUCAUUAUCUGGUUAAAGAACAGUUUCAGGCGGGCAGUUUGACUGGGGCGGUCGCCUCCCAAAUGGUAACGGAGGCGCACAAAGGUUUCCUCUGAACGGGUAGAAAUCGUAUCUAGAGUGUAAAGGCAUAAGGAAGCUUGACUGUGAGACCUACAAGUCGUGCAGGGACGAAAGUCGGUCUUAGUGAUCUGACGGUGCUGAGUGGAAAGGCCGUCACUCAACGGAUAAAAGUUACUCUAGGAUAACAGGCUGAUCUCCCCCAAGAGUUCACAUCGACGGGGAGGUUUGGCACCUCGAUGUCGGCUCAUCGCAUCCUGGGGCGGUAGUACGUCCCAAGGGUUGGGCUGUUCGCCCAUGAAAGCGGUACGCGAGCUGGGUUCAGAACGUCGUGAGACAGUUCGGUCCAUAUCCGGUGUAGGCGUUAGAAUAUUGAGAGGAGCCUUCUUUAGUACGAGAGGACCGAGAAGGACAUACCUCUGGUGUACCAGUUAUCGUGCCAACGGUAAACGCUGGGUAGCUAUGUAUGGAGUGGAUAACCGCUGAAAGCAUCUAAGUGGGAAGCCCACCUCAGGAUGGGUGCUCUCACAGGGUUAACCUGGUAAGGUCACGGGAAGACCACCCGUUAAUAGGCACUAGGUGGAAGUCCAGUAAUGGA